AUUGAACGCUGGCGGCAGGCUUAACACAUGCAAGUCGAGCGGAGAUGAGGUGCUUGCACCUUAUCUUAGCGGCGGACGGGUGAGUAAUGCUUAGGAAUCUGCCUAUUAGUGGGGGACAACAUUCCGAAAGGAAUGCUAAUACCGCAUACGCCCUACGGGGGAAAGCAGGGGAUCUUCGGACCUUGCGCUAAUAGAUGAGCCUAAGUCGGAUUAGCUAGUUGGUGGGGUAAAGGCCUACCAAGGCGACGAUCUGUAGCGGGUCUGAGAGGAUGAUCCGCCACACUGGGACUGAGACACGGCCCAGACUCCUACGGGAGGCAGCAGUGGGGAAUAUUGGACAAUGGGCGGAAGCCUGAUCCAGCCAUGCCGCGUGUGUGAAGAAGGCCUUAUGGUUGUAAAGCACUUUAAGCGAGGAGGAGGCUACUUUAGUUAAUACCUAGAGAUAGUGGACGUUACUCGCAGAAUAAGCACCGGCUAACUCUGUGCCAGCCGCCGCGGUAAAAC
rnacentral:rRNA from 1 species